UACGUAGGGAGCGAGCGUUGUCCGGAUUUAUUGGGCGUAAAGAGCGCGUAGGCGGCUUGGUAAGCCGGAUGUGAAACCCCCGAGCUCAACUCGGGGCGGCCAUUCGGAACUGCCAUGGCUAGAGUCUGGUAGGGGAACACGGAAUACCUGGUGUAGCGGUGAAAUGCUUAGAUAUCAGGAGGAACACCGGUGGCGAAGGCGGGUCUCUGGGCAGUAACUGACGCUGAGGAGCGAAAGCGUGGGGAGCGAACAGG
rnacentral:rRNA from 1 species